CCAUUAUUGCAGCGACUAUCUGUUGAACGGAAUGGAAAGAAGCAGAAGAAAAUGAUAACUCCGUAUCUCAGGUCAAGCGACUUCAAGACAUCCUGAAAGUUGCUAUGUAUUUCCUUAAGUCUGAUUACCUCUUCUCUACCACUAUUUAAGUGUAAGAAAGAUUUUGCCUUAGUUUCCUGAGGCUGAUGUGAAAAAACCACAAAGUUAGUGACAUCAGUACCAGAAAUGGAUUCUCUCACAGUACUGGAGGCCAGAUGUUCACACUGCAGCAGGGCCAUGCUCUCAAUGACAUCUGCAGAGGACGCUACAUCCCUUCCAACUUUAGAAGCUGCCCUGGCAUUCCUGGCUUGCACUAUGCCACUCCACUUUCUGACCCUGUGAUCACACUAUCCCUCCUCUUCUGUGUGUCCUUCCCACAUGGACCUCUUAUAAGAGCACUUGCUGUUGGAUUCUGGGUCCAUUCAGAUCACAAAGAAAGCUUUCUUCAAGUUCCUAAAUUAAUGACAUCUGCAAAGACUCUUUCCAGAUAAGAUCACAUUGACAGAUUUUGGGAAUUAGGACACAGAUUUUUUGGGGGGCGGAGACACUAUUCAGCCCACUGGCUAUGACAAAUUUAAAAUGGUAAUGCACAAUCCAGGACAGCAAGAAGACAAAGGCUUUGUUACAACAGAACAGAGCAGAGACAUCCGUGGCCGUCAGCUUCUUUAAAGCCAGUAAAUACAGAAGAUCCUCGGCUCUGAAGCUCAAGAAUAGGAGCAGAAGAAUCUUCAGUGACAGACAGAGGGGAGAGUUGUCUGCUGAUGCCAGUGUGUGAGCUGGGGCAGUUGGUGCCUGGCUUACAUCGAGUGACUGAUGACCUGGAGGUGCCUGGGAAGACAGAGUGCACAC